rnacentral:rRNA from 1 species
UGGGGAAUAUUUCGCAAUGGGCGAAAGCCUGACGAAGCAAUACCACGUGGAGGAUGAAGGCCUUUGGGUUGUAAACUCCUUUUCUCAUUGAAGAAGAUAUGACACGAUUUGAGGAAUAAGCAUCGGCUAAUUCUGUGCCAGCAGCCGCGGUAAUACAGAAGAUGCAAGCGUUAUCUGGAAUUAUUGGGCGUAAAGCGUUCUGUAGAUGGUUUUCUAAGUUUAAUGUUAAAGAUCAAGGCUUAACUUUGAAAUGGCAUUGAAAACUGGUGAACUUGAGUACGAUAGAGGUAGAGGGAAUUUCCAGUGUAGCGGUGAAAUGCGUAGAUAUUGGAAAGAACACCAAUGGCGAAAGCACUCUACUAGGUUGAUACUGACAUUGAGAGACGAAAGCUAGGUUAAU